rnacentral:rRNA from 1 species
UACAGAGGUCCCAAGCGUUGUUCGGAUUCACUGGGCGUAAAGGGUGCGUAGGCGGUCGGAUAAGUCUGAUGUGAAAUCUCACAGCUUAACUGUGAAACUGCAUUGGAUACUAUCCGGCUAGAGGAAUGGAGGGGAGACUGGAAUACUUGGUGUAGCAGUGAAAUGCGUAGAUAUCAAGUGGAACACCAGUGGCGAAGGCGAGUCUCUGGACAUUUCCUGACGCUGAGGCACGAAAGCUAGGGGAGCAAACAGG